rnacentral:rRNA from 1 species
AUUGAACGCUGGCGGCAGGCCUAACACAUGCAAGUCGAGCGAGCGGCGGACGGGUGCGUAAUGUAUGGUGACCGUCCGUUAGAGGGCGAUAACUACUGGAAACGGUAGCUAAUACCGCAUACUAUCGGAUAACCCAUAUGGGAUUAGCUAGUCGGUGAGGUAAUGGCUCACCUAGUCGACGAUCCCUAGCUGGUCUGAGAGGAUGAUCCGCCACACUGGGACUGAGACACGGCCCAGACUCCUACGGAGGCAGCAGUGGGGAAUAUUGGACAAUGGGCGCAAGCCUGAUGCAGCCAUGCCGCGUGUAUGAAGAAGGCCUUAGGGUUGUAAAGUACUUUCAGUCGGGAAGCGUUACCGACAGAAGAAGCACCGGCUAACUCCGUGCCAGCAGCCGCGGUAAUAC